AGGAUGAACGCUAGCGGCAGGCCUAAUACAUGCAAGUCGAACGGUGGUAGCAAUACCAUAGUGGCGCACGGGUGCGUAACACGUAACUAACCUACCUAUAACUGGGGGAUAGCCCGCCGAAAGGCGGAUUAAUACCGCAUAAGCUGCUUGGGUGGCAUCACUCGAACAGUAAAGAUUUAUUGGUUAUAGAUGGGGUUGCGGGUCAUUAGCUAGUUGGUAGGGUAACGGCUUACCAAGGCGACGAUGACUAGGGGAGCUGAGAGGCUGGUCCCCCACACGGGCACUGAGAUACGGGCCCGACUCCUACGGGAGGCAGCAGUAGGGAAUAUUGGGCAAUGGGCGAGAGCCUGACCCAGCCAUGCCGCGUGCAGGAUGAAGGCUUUCUGAGUCGUAAACUGCUUUUGACAGGGAAGAAUAAGUACUACGUGUAGUAUGAUGACGGUACCUGCAGAAUAAGCACCGGCUAACUCGUGCCAGCACCGC
rnacentral:rRNA from 1 species